GCUUUCCUCUCCUGCUAAGCUUUGUUUCCUGGCAGUAAUUAAAACCUUCUCCCACUGCCAUAGCUACUGCUGCUGCUGGAACUGCCAUAGCCACCUUGGUUUUGUGGUUUGGCAAAGUAUUGGCCUCCACCACCAUAGGGGCCAGAGCUUCUGCCUCCAAAAUUUCCUCCUUUCAUGGGUCCAAAAUUUGAAGAUUGAUUGUUGUAAUUGCCAAAAUCAUUAUAGCUUCCACCACCUCCAAAGUUGCUUCCAUCGUUACCAAAUCCGUUAUAGCCAUCCCCACUGCCACCAUAUCCACCACCACCUCGACUGCCGCCAAAGCCACCUUGCCCACUGAAGUUUCCUCCAUGGCCAAAGUUGUCAUUCCCACCAAAACCACCUCCACGACCACCACCAAAGUUCCCAGAACCACUUCAACCUCUUUGGCUGGAAGAAGCGCUAGCCAUCUCUUGCUUAGAUAAAGCUUUCCUUACUUCACAGUUGUGGCCAUUCACAGUAUGGUAUUUUUGAAUGACAAUCUUGUCUACAGAGUCAUGGUCGUCAAAGGUCACAAAAGGAAAGCCUCUCUUUUUGCCACUGCCUUGGUCAGUCAUGAUUUCAAUCACUUCAAUUUUCCCAUACAGUUCAAGAUAAUCUCUUAGAUGAUGUUCCUCAGUGUCUUCUUUAAUGCCACCAUAAAAAUCUUUUUCACAGUUAAGUGGGCACCAGGUCUUUGAGAAUCUUCUCUCGAGACAGCCCUCUUUGGUUCCACAACUCUUCCAUCCACCUUGUGUGGCCUUGCAUUCAUGGCUGCAUCCACCUCUUCCACAGUAGCAGAGGUGACAAACCCAAAGCCUCUGGAGCGCUUGGUGUUUGGAUCUCUUAUUACCACACAGUCUGUAAUCGUUCCCCAUUGCUCAAAAUGGCUCCUCAGACUCUCAUUGGUUGUUUCAAAGCUCAAACCUCCAAUGAAAAGCUUCCGCAGCUGUUCAGGCUCUUUGGGAGACUCUGACUUAAACAUGACGACGGUGGGAGGGGAGACUUUCACGAUGCUUACUCCGCGGCGUCCACAGGCAGAAAG
rnacentral:lncRNA from 1 species